GCGUAUUGAGUCUGGGACAGCACCCCGGGGAGCGCUUUCGAGCGUGACUUUAGGGCUGUCCACCUCACCGUACAUCUGAUCCAAACCCCUGUGCACUAGCUCUGUCCCGCCGCUGUUCCCGCAGCGCGGACAGAACGGAACAAACACUUUUUUCGAGUAAGAAUGGACGUUUUGCUGUUGGAUCAUAACGACCAACGAAGACAAAUA
rnacentral:misc_RNA from 1 species